rnacentral:rRNA from 1 species
GAUGAACGCUGGCGGCGUGCUUAACACAUGCAAGUCGAACGGAAAGGCCCUGCUUUUGUGGGGUGCUCGAGUGGCGAACGGGUGAGUAACACGUGAGUAACCUGCCCUUGUCUUUGGGAUAACUUCAGGAAACUGGGGCUCAUACCGGAUAGGAGCUCCUGCUGCAUGGUGGGGGUUGGAAAGAUUCGGCGGUUGGGGCUCGACUCGCGGCUUAUCCGCUUGUUGGUGGGGUAGGGGCGUACGAAGGCUUUGACGGGUAGCCGGCCUGGGAGGGUGGCCGGCCACAUUGGGACUGCGAUACGGCCCAGACGCCUACGGGAGGCAGCAGUGGGGAAUAUUGCACAAUGGGCGGAAGCCUGAGGCAGCGACGCCGCGUGCGGGAUGACGUCCUUCGGGUUGUAAACCUCUUUCGCCGUUGACGAAGCGUGAGUGACGGUAAUGGGUAAAGAAGCACCGGCUAACUACGUG